rnacentral:rRNA from 1 species
CCUACGGGUGGCUGCAGUGGGGGAUAUUGCACAAUGGGGGGAACCCUGAUGCAGCGACGCCGCGUGGGUGAAGAAGCGCCUCGGCGCGUAAAGCUCUGUCAGCAGGGAAGAAAAUGACGGUACCUGAAGAAGAAGCCACGGCUAACUACGUGCCAGCAGCCGCGGUAAUACGGAGGGGGCGAGCGUUAUCCGGAUUUACUGGGUGUAAAGGGAGCGUAGACGGGUCUGCAAGUCUGAAGUGAAAGCCCGUGGCUUAACCGCGGAACGGCUUUGGAAACUGUGGAACUGGAGUGCUGGAGAGGCAAGCGGAAUUCCUAGUGUAGCGGUGAAAUGCGUAGAUAUUAGGAGGAACACCGGUGGCGAAGGCGGCUUGCUGGACAGUAACUGACGUUGAGGCUCGAAAGCGUGGGGAGCAAACAGGAUUAGAUACCCGUGUAGUC